rnacentral:rRNA from 1 species
UACGAAGGGGACUAGCGUUGUUCGGAAUCACUGGGCGUAAAGCGCACGUAGGCGGAUGUGUCAGUCAGGCGUGAAAUCCCCGGGCUCAACCUUUGAAAGCCGGUGGAUACUGUGGGGCUAGAGUACGGAAGAGGCGAGUGGAAUUCCUGGUGUAGCGGUGGAAUGCGCAGAUAUCAGGAGGAACACCAAUAGCGAAGGCAGCUCGCUGGGACGUUACUGACACUGAGGCGCGAAGGCGUGGGGAGCGAACAGG